rnacentral:rRNA from 1 species
CGUGCGGUUCUAUUUUGUUGGUUUCUAGAGUCGCCGUAAUGAUUAAUAGGGAUAGUUGGAGGCAUUGGUAUUGAGUCGCUAGAGGUGAAUUCUUGGAUUGACUCAGACCGACUAUUGCGAAAGCAUUUGCCAAGGAUGUUUUCAUUAUCAAGAACGAAGGUUAGGGUAUCGAAAACGAUUAGAUACCGUUGUAGUCUUAACAGUAACUAUGCCGACUAGGGAUCGGUCGAUGUUAUUUUCUGACUCGAUCGGCACCUUACGAGAAAUCAAAGUUUUGGGUCUGGGGGGAGUAUUGUCGCCAGCUGAACCUAAGGAAUUGACGGAAGGCACCACAGUGUGGAGCUGCGCUUAUUGACUCACACCG